rnacentral:rRNA from 1 species
GACGAACGCUGGCGGCGUGCUUAACACAUGCAAGUCGAACGGAAAGGCCCUGCUUUUGUGGGGUGCUCGAGUGGCGAACGGGAGCGUAACACGUGAGUAACCUGCCCUUGACUUUGGGAUAACUUCAGGAAACUGGGGCUAAUACCGGAUAGGAGCUGCUGCUGCAUGGAGGGGGUUGGAAAGUUUCGGCGGUUGGGGAUGGACUCGCGGCUUAUCAGCUUGUUGGUGGAGUAGUGGCUUACCAAGGCUUUGACGGGUAGCCGGCCUGAGAGCGUGACCGGCCACAUUGGGACUGAGAUACGGCCCAGACUCCUACGGGAGGCAGCAGUGGGGAGUAUUGCACAAUGGGCGGACGCCUGAUGCAGAAGCGCCGCGUGCGGGAUGACGUCCUUCGGGUUGUAAACCGCGUUCGCCUGUGACGAAGCGUGAGUGACGGUAAUGGGUAAAGAAGCACCGGCUAACUACGUG